rnacentral:rRNA from 1 species
GGAGUUAGCCGGUGCUUCUUCUGUGAGUGAUGUCCUUCCUGCCGGCUAUUAACCCGCAGGCCUUCUUCCUCACUGAAAGUGCUUUACAACCCGAAGGCCUUCUUCACACACGCGGCAUGGCUGGAUCAGGGUUGCCCCCAUUGUCCAAUAUUCCCCACUGCUGCCUCCCGUAGGAGUCUGGGCCGUGUCUCAGUCCCAGUGUGGCUGAUCAUCAUCUCAGACCAGCUACGGAUCGUCGCCUUGGUGAGCCGUUACCUCACCAACCAGCUAAUCCGACAUAGGCUCAUCCGAUAGCGCGAGGCCCGAAGGUCCCCCGCUUUCCCCCGUAGGGCGUAUGCGGUAUUAGCCUGGGUUUCCCCAGGUUAUCCCCCGACUACCGGGCAGAUUCCUAUGCAUUACUCACCCGUCCGCCGCUCGCCACCAGGGAGCAAGCUCCCCGUGCUGCCGCUCGACUUGCAUGUGUUAGGCCUGCCGCCAGCGUUCAAUCUGAACCAGAAUCAAACUCUGA